rnacentral:rRNA from 1 species
UACGGAGGGAGCUAGCGUUGUUCGGAAUUACUGGGCGUAAAGCGCACGUAGGCGGCUUUGUAAGUUAGAGGUGAAAGCCCGGGGCUCAACCCCGGAAUUGCCUUUAAGACUGCAUCGCUUGAAUCCGGGAGAGGUGAGUGGAAUUCCGAGUGUAGAGGUGAAAUUCGUAGAUAUUCGGAAGAACACCAGUGGCGAAGGCGGCUCACUGGCCCGUAACUGACGCUGAGGCACGAAAGCGUGGGGAGCAAACAGG